UACGGAGGGUGCGAGCGUUGUCCGGAAUCACUGAGCGUAAAGGGCGCGUAGGCGGCCCGGUAAGUAGGAGGUGAAAUCCUGAGGCUCAACCUCAGGGCUGCCUUCUAAACUGCCAGGCUUGAGCACAGUAGAGGCAGGUGGAAUUCCCGGUGUAGCGGUGGAAUGCGUAGAGAUCGGGAAGAACAUCGGUGGCGAAGGCGGCCUGCUGGGCUGUUGCUGACGCUGAGGCGCGACAGCGUGGGGAGCAAACAGG
rnacentral:rRNA from 1 species